CUGUGGAGUGUUAUAUCAAAUGUUAGUAGUGUAAUUUAUUAUAUGAGGACAGACACAUUGAAACAGUAA
rnacentral:sRNA from 1 species